rnacentral:rRNA from 1 species
GAGCUUGUACGGCGAGUGAGCGGCAAAAGCUCAAAUUUGAAAUCUGGUACCUUCGGUGCCCGAGUUGUAAUUUGGAGAGGGCAACUUUGGGGCCGUUCCUUGUCUAUGUUCCUUGGAACAGGACGUCAUAGAGGGUGAGAAUCCCGUGUGGCGAGGAGUGCGGUUCUUUGUAAAGUGCCUUCGAAGAGUCGAGUUGUUUGGGAAUGCAGCUCUAAGUGGGUGGUAAAUUCCAUCUAAAGCUAAAUAUUGGCGAGAGACCGAUAGCGAACAAGUACAGUGAUGGAAAGAUGAAAAGAACUUUGAAAAGAGAGUGAAAAAGUACGUGAAAUUGUUGAAAGGGAAGGGCAUUUGAUCAGACAUGGUGUUUUGUGCCCUCUGCUCCUUGUGGGUAGGGGAAUCUCGCAUUUCACUGGGCCAGCAUCAGUUUUGGUGGCAGGAUAAAUCCAUAGGAAUGUAGCUUGCCUCGGUAAGUAUUAUAGCCUGUGGGAAUACUGCCAGCUGGGACUGAGGACUGCGACGUAAGUCAAGGAUGCUGGCAUAAUGGUUAUAUGCCGCUCGUCUUGAAACACGGACCA